CCACGACCUGCAUGAUAUGGUUAGACCCUUUUAAAACUUUUGUUAUUAUUAGUGUCAACACUGAAAUUGUUGCAAGUCCAACCAUGACCUGGAUAUGAUCCUUUAUACAUGCAUGCAUACACAUCUAAGUCUCGUGCGAACUCUGAUUCUUUUUUUCUUACAUAUUUUCUUAGGAAUCCUGAGACAAAACUAUAUAUAUGGACUACUAGAUUAAGAUUUUCAUAUAAUUUGAGUGAGAAAAGAAAAAAUUAAAGAAGAACAUAAAAUACUUGAUUAGUGGAUGGGCCGCGACUCUUGUAAUCAGCACCAUAACCAUAAUCGUAACCAGCGCCAUAACCGACACGAUCUUCGUACUGCGGCUUAAGUUGAAGUCCUUUGUCAGUACGGUCGACAUUCACACGCCUGUCCACAGUCGUCAUAGCUAUUGAUAUGAUUUAAAACUACUAAAAGCAAAGUUCAAA